UACGAAGGGGGCUAGCGUUGCUCGGAAUUACUGGGCGUAAAGGGCGCGUAGGCGGACAGUUUAGUCAGAGGUGAAAGCCCAGGGCUCAACCUUGGAAUUGCCUUUGAUACUGGCUGUCUUGAGUUCGGGAGAGGUGAGUGGAAUGCCGAGUGUAGAGGUGAAAUUCGUAGAUAUUCGGAGGAACACCAGUGGCGAAGGCGGCUCACUGGCUCGGUACUGACGCUGAGGUGCGAAAGCUAGGGGAGCGAACGGG
rnacentral:rRNA from 1 species